AUAAAGAUUAUUUUAUAUAAAAUUUAUAAUUGUUAAUUAUACGAAUAUUCUUUAAG
rnacentral:tRNA from 1 species